GUGACAGGUGGGUGGAGGGCCUACCACUGAUGUACAACCCAGGCCCUGAGGUGACCGUGGACGAGCGCCUGGUCCCUUUCCGAGGUCGCUGUCCAUUCAAACAGUACAUCCCAAGCAAACCAGGCAAGUAUGGGAUCAAGAUCUGGGCAGCAUGUGAUGCCAGGAGCCGCUACGCCUGGAAUAUGCAGGUUUACACGGAGAAACCUGUUACUGGAAGGCCAGAAAAAAAACAAGGCAUGCGUGUUGUGUUGGACAUGACAGCCGGUCUUAAGGGGCAUAACAUCACAUGUGAUAACUAUUUCACAUCACAUGGGCUUGGUCAAGAGCUGCUGAAAACAAAGCUCACCAUGGCGGGGACAGUGAGGAAGAACAAGCCUCAACUUCCCCCUGCACUUGUUUCGACCAGAGGGAGAAAUGCACUCUCAUCCAAAUUUGCUUUCACUGACACAUAGUCUUGUGUCAUAUUUGCCCAAGAAAAAUAAGAAUGUCAUCCUGAUGAGCAUACGCCGCUGUCAGCAAAGCAGAGCACAGGAAACCCCAGAUCAUCCUGGACUACAACAGAAACAAAGGAGGCGUUGACUGCCUUGAUAAGCUUACUGGUACAUACACCUGCAAGUGAAUGACAGCUCGUUGGCCUGUGGCAGUGUUCCACAAAAUCCUUGAUGUGUCUGCAUGUAAUGCAUAUGUGGUGUGGACAGCGAUUGACCCAGCCUGGAAUCAGGGGAAAUGUUUGAAGAGGAGACUCUUCCUGGCAGAGCUUGGGAAAGCUUUAGUGACUCCUCUAAUUCAACGGCGCCAGCACCUUCCCCGCACACCAGCCUCUGGCAUUCUGGUGAGGAGUCUGCAAGCCCCAGCCACUGCCCUGGCCGCUCUCCCCCCAAACCAGGGGCAGAAAUGGAAGAGAUGCGAGCUCUGUGCCCCUAGAGACAAUGAGACAAGUCUUACAUGUUUCAAAUGUGAUGCAUACGUUUGCAAGGCACACUGCGACCUGAUUGCAAAAUGCCACUCCUGUGUUUGAACACACACACACACACACACACACACACACACACACACACACACACACACACACACACACACACACACACACACACACACACACACACACACACACACACACACACACACACACACACACACGAUGUGUUCAUGUUGAUGUUCUGUGAAUUUGGUCUGUUUUGAUUUUUCUGUCUUUUUUUUAACAAUAAUUCCUAUUGUAACUCCUAUUCACUGCAGUUAUUCAUGUAAACCAGUAGUCUGGAGACAUUGUUUACACAUCACAUGGGCUUGGUCAAGAGCUGCUGAAAACAAAGCUCACCAUGGCGGGGACAGUGAGGAAGAACAAGCCUCAACUUCCCCCUGCACUUGUUUCGACCAGAGGGAGAAAUGCACUCUCAUCCAAAUUUGCUUUCACUGACACAUAGUCUUGUGUCAUAUUUGCCCAAGAAAAAUAAGAAUGUCAUCCUGAUGAGCAUACGCCGCUGUCAGCAAAGCAGAGCACAGGAAACCCCAGAUCAUCCUGGACUACAACAGAAACAAAGGAGGCGUUGACUGCCUUGAUAAGCUUACUGGUACAUACACCUGCAAGUGAAUGACAGCUCGUUGGCCUGUGGCAGUGUUCCACAAAAUCCUUGAUGUGUCUGCAUGUAAUGCAUAUGUGGUGUGGACAGCGAUUGACCCAGCCUGGAAUCAGGGGAAAUGUUUGAAGAGGAGACUCUUCCUGGCAGAGCUUGGGAAAGCUUUAGUGACUCCUCUAAUUCAACGGCGCCAGCACCUUCCCCGCACACCAGCCUCUGGCAUUCUGGUGAGGAGUCUGCAAGCCCCAGCCACUGCCCUGGCCGCUCUCCCCCCAAACCAGGGGCAGAAAUGGAAGAGAUGCGAGCUCUGUGCCCCUAGAGACAAUGAGACAAGUCUUACAUGUUUCAAAUGUGAUGCAUACGUUUGCAAGGCACACUGCGACCUGAUUGCAAAAUGCCACUCCUGUGUUUGAACACACACACACACACACACACACACACACACACACACACACACACACACACACACACACACACACACACACACACACACACA